UAAUUCCGGAUGAGCCGAAAGGUAAAAAGAAAUUCGCCUGGAGAUGAGCUUGCGGCUGAUUAGCUAGUUGGUAGGGUAAGAGCCUACCAAGGCGACGAUCAGUAGCUGGUCUGAGAGGAUGAGCAGCCACACUGGGACUGAGACACGGCCCAGACUCCUACGGGAGGCAGCAGUGGGGAAUUUUCCGCAAUGGGCGAAAGCCUGACGGAGCAAGACCGCGUGGGGGAGGAAGGUUCUUGGAUUGUCAACCCCUUUUCUCAAGGAAGAAGUUCUGACGGUACCUGAGGAAUCAGCAUCGGCUAACUCCGUGCCAGCAGCCGCGGUAAUACGGAGGAUGCAAGCGUUAUCCGGAAUGAUUGGGCGUAAAGAGUCCGUAGGUGGCGAGUCAAGUCGAUUGUCAAAGAGCGAGGCUUAACUUCGUGAAGGCAGUGGAAACUGACUAGCUAGAGAGCAGUAGGGGCAGAAGGAAUUCCUGGUGUAGCGGUGA
rnacentral:rRNA from 1 species